CCCCCUCCUGUUUUCUGGUUCAGCAAGGCAAUAUGAGUAUUUCGGUCUGCAAGGGUGGGCCUCUGCAGGCAGAGCAAGGCAGGAGGGCCAAGCUAGGGUCUGGGGGGAGCGGAGGAGAGCAGGUGCAGAAGAGUAAACAGCACGUCAUCGCCCCCAAGAGUGUGGCAGGAGAAGACACUCAAGCAGCAGUAGGAAAUAAUUGUCAUGCCAGCUCUUUAUCUGGGGACUGCUUAAUGGUCCAGCAGAUGUGUGAAAUGACAUCUGAUUGACUUUCUUUUUCAGACGGUCCUAGGCCAACGCCUCUUUCAAAUAACCAAGUUGUUUUUUUUAAAUCAAAUCUUUGAAGGCUGAUUAAAUAAUGUUAAUUCACCAAUGAGGGUGGUUUUAAAACCCUGCAACAGAAGCAAACUUGGCUUUUGUGAGAAAAUUAGUAAAUGUGAUACCAGAAAUCGCUGCGGCUGUGUGCACUGAGCUAAAAUUAGUCCGAAAGUUUAGGAUUAUUUAUUUCCAGGUGCCUUUUAAUCACACCUGCUUCACGGCCCCCUCCUCACUGUCUUUGUUGGUGGGGGGCAGUUUGUCUCCUUCCCAGAUGGCCCUGUUCCUCAGUUUUCCUCAGGCACAGCCUCUGUAAACAGGCAAAACGAGGAUGACCCCCACUAUCUCCUCCAACAUCCCAAGCUCAACCUUACAUUUGAUACAAAUUUGCUCAGCAUUUAGGAGAGAGCUGUUUGUUGUUGAAGGGGAACGGUCUUUUUAGCUCUAAUUAUUCUGAACAUUAGUGUGGCAGUGACAACAGAUGUUUAAGUGGUCCCACUAGGGGGCCGUAGUCAGGAAAAAGCAUGGGUACAACUACCUCUUACAAGGCAUUUUGGAGGAGCAGGUAACAGACUGAAAAGAGAUAACAAAUUGAAUUCUAUCCAUCUGGGGAUCGAAAUUGCACUAUCUAAAGACAGAUUGCACUUCAUAGAUUUGGACCCCUUCUAUAAUAAUUUAUAACAAUCUGAAAAAGGCGACAUUUCCCCCCUGUUCAGUUGAUGGAACACAUAUCUAGGAAAUCCAAAUAGAUAAGAAUUUGUUUUCAAAGAUAGGAUGCCUUUCAAGUAAUCAAGUUUGGGGGUUCUCAAUAUAACUGCAGUGAAUCAACUGUGAAAUCAGGAAAUAAAGAGCAUUUCAUAGGGAGGGGGAAAGUUUCCUUCCAACGUGUUCCCUUUUCUUUCUUCUUCUUCUAACAGCUUACACAUUCUCUUUCCCUCUCUACAUACAAAUACGUAACUUUAGGUCAUUUUCCUUUAGAUUUUGCCCCCCCCCCAAAUUGUCAGAAUAUGAUGAAAAUCUACCCUUGGGUAUUUUAAGAAAUGCACACAUGUGUAUCCAUGUUCAAGUUUCCAUUUGUUAACUCUGCAUCUGGCAGUCAUUUAGGAAGUAUUUGUUGAGUGAGUGCAUCAAUUUCUCCUCCAAAUAUGCUUGCAUUUAGGACACCCCCAGCUUUAGACCUCAUUGAUAUAUCUCCCAUGUGCAUUGAUGUGAUACACUAUACCACCUUUCCUUACAGCAGCCGUAAUUCCCUACAGUCCCAUCCUUUGGAGACAACUUGGAGCAGCGGAAGGCAUGGGGUCACCUGGAUUCCAGUUCCAGUUCUACAACCCAGGCUAUUUAAUGCUAGCCUCUCAGUUUCCCUUUCUG